rnacentral:lncRNA from 1 species
GCAAGGUAGACCGAGUAAUUUAGCUGUAACCAAAAUGACUUUACAUUCAUAACCAUAGUCUAGUUUAUAAUCAAUGCAUCAAAUUAUUGCCAAUGACAAACGCGGAAGUAACUAUAUGUUUUAAUAACCCGAGUACCAGACACUAGGAAUUUGUAUCUAAAGAGUAAAGUGAAACAUGGUUGAAAUGUCGAAAGGCAUUUCAGUUUACUAGUACAGAAGCAAUAUUCUAAUAUACUUGCAUUUCACGAGCGAAAUGUACAUAUUAUAGCCAUGAAAGUUUUCUAACAUAGGCCCUGUCAAACAUAAUAUAGCGUAAGCAGUGUAUACAGUUGAUGCAUGCAUGUGAAGAUGAUAUCAAGGAAACAGAGAGUUAAUCAAACUAGUAUAUCUUUGAUAUGCCCUAAGAAUACCAUUUAUCUCAGUUUUACUGCGACUAAGACGCCGAAAUAACAUAAUUAUGCACGAUGCAUCGGCGGAUUAAUUGAAUUGCAUGUAUCAGUAUCAUGAACGAUUAGUUUCACCACUUACCCUGCACAUACAGGAAAAUUACAAUGAAUUUCAGGAAACCCAACAUACAGCAUUUAGAAAACAUCUUCUUAACUGAGGAAAAGCUUUACAUUGGCCGCAGUAACAUGUAUACGAAUGUCUUCGAGUAUUCUGAGAUGCGGUGACGCGGAAGAUCCGAAGAUGGAAUCUGAAUCAAAGAUCACAGCAGGAAGUCUGGGGUGCUUUUGAAAUUGGAGAAAGACAAAUAUCAAACAUUCUUUCAGCAGUUUAGGUUUGUAAAUUAUUGUGAAAAUAAAACUAUGAAUAUUUUAAAUAAAUUGAAAAUUGUGUUAG